ensembl:lincRNA
UUUGAACUCUAGUAUCUUAGGUGACCCCCACUCUCCAUGGGUGUGAGCCUCUGCCUCAGGAUUUCCUUCGAGGACUAUCUCACAGGGGGUGUGCAGACUCCGAGGAAGCACGCUCAGACCCCAGGGCACAGCGGGCAGCAGAGGACCCCAAGCUACACAGGAGAGGACAGCUCAACUGUCUCUGGAGCGCUAAAGCCCGCGUACCCGGAUGUAACCAGGAUGUGCCAAGUGAACACAGCCUAAGCCCGACAGGAGCGCAGAAGGACAGCAGUGGCAGGGAGCACGGGAACGUGGACAACUUGCUCUGGUGUCAGUGUCCUUCCGAUUCUGCGGUGCAGGAGGCCACUCUGAGAAGUGAUGGCUGAAACAGAUCUGAACGAAACCAAACCACAUGUAGAGGUGGGUUCUGCAUGACUUUUCUCGAAUGUGCUGCGGUGAAGUCCUGAUGGGAAGUGACAUGGCAGCUGCUACCCGCUGUGUUGGAUGCAUCUGAUUUACCCAGGUCUCCCACCCUGUCCUGUGUCCUGGGAUGCCCACUGCCUGGAGUCCGUGGGGCUCUGGCCCCUCUGACUUCUCAUUAGGGUCACCUCAUGAAGCCCCGGAGACUGGGACUGGUUUCUUCCCUGACUUCCCUUCCUCCUUGCUGUGUCUUCGUGGGCUGACUGUGUCCUUCAACUGAAGGCCAUGGUUUAAGUGGGGGAAAAGGCACUCCACAUAGCUCGCUCUCUAGAUUCAGAAACAGGGAAGGGAACCUUCCCUUGCCCCCUGAGGCUUCUAAGCAGUAAUUACCCCUAUUCCCACUACUGGUCUUGGGUACCACAGGAUGUGUGCACUCUUACGGUUUCUUUCUACUGUGCCUAUACUUUUGCAGCUAUUUCCUUUAUUUAGCUCUCUUCAAAAGUAUACAUUUGGUUAUAUCUAUUUCCUUUGAAGACCCCACUGUAUAUAUGUGUGGAGAAAGUCAUCCACGGAGCUUUGGAAUCAGACAGAUCAGCAUCGGAAUGCUAACACUGACCAUAGUUUUAUGAUACCGGGUAAGGUUUUAAUUUCUAUGAACCAUUGUUUCUUAUUUCUGUGAGUCCUCCUGGUUCUCCUCAGCAGCAUCACCCCCUUUGGCACAAUCUAAGAACCGUCCCCACCUACCCUGCAACACCUGUGUCGUGACACCUUGGCCCUCGCCAAGCAGAAACUCCAAGACUUUCUGACUGUGCUUAGCUCAUUUCAGCCUUAGCUCAUCUCAGUGGAUUUAUUUAUUUUUCCAUAUCUUUUUCCUCUCUUGCUCAUUUUCCUCUCACCCAACCUCUGCAUGUCAUCAGAUCCUGGGCUGACAACAGACACUAUUACAGUAUUUGAAUCUCUGGUCCGCAUCACCCAUGCUGAAGUUCAAUGAACCUAUGAUUCAUGAACUUGUCUUAGGAGAGCUACAUGGCACAUACACAUGCCUAAACAUAUUCUACUUAAUGAGAGGCAUGGUGGGCGUGACAUUUAAAGUGGUUCUAAAUGAUCAGAAAUUGACCUCUAGCAAUAAUUUCAUUCCCAAGUUAAUAUUCUAAAGCCUUAAGUUUCCUGGGAAAAUGCAUCUCAGGAAGGAGAAUCACAAGGAGUUAGGUACAGCUUUUUAUCUCUUGCUGAGAUGAUAACAAUACCUCAAGACUUGAUUCCUGACAUCUCUAGUCAAAUUGACCCCCUCCUUUCCACUAAUUUCACCAUCCAGGUAAACUUACAUUCUGAAGGAAAAACAAAGUUCAAAAGCCCAAGGAUAGGCGACUCCUUACUUUACGGGCACAGCAGGUAAUCAGGCACUGCUGAUUGAAAGGGAUCCUCUGACCUUCCUCCGUCCGAGGUACAGAAGAGAUGCUGACUGACUUGACAAGUCAUCACAACCCACAUGAAAGUGACAUUUCUGAAGAGGCUCUUUGGGUUAAAUGCCAGGAGAUCUUCAAAACCGAACUCAGAAACAUCUGAGAUGCAUUCUACCCUGGAGUCUGGAAAGAUGGCUCCUGACAUGAACCAAAUUGAUAGCCAAGAGAAUUCUAAACAAGAGC